AUCUUUCUCGUCCCUUUUUUACUUCUGCCUUGAAAGAGACAGUAAGCCUGGAUCAUUCAAAUAUGGACGGUUUGGUGGAAUGUUUUAAUCAGACUUUAAAACAGAUGCUGAAGAGGUUUGUCAACCAGAAACAGAAGCAUUGGGCUAAACUCCUCCGCUACCUGAUGUUUGCAGUGAGAGAGAAAGGAUUGAUGCUGUGAAUCUCCCUCGAUCCGAAAGGUGCUGUUUAAGAGGAAGAGUGAGCACCCAGGAGCUGUCGCUUCAGAGCCAGCAAUCAACCCUGAGCACUUCCGUGCACAGCACAACACACACAUGCACCAUGAUCCCCCGGAGUUGAGCAUGCACAAUUUCAUGCACAGAGGAUGCUGGACGGACAAAGUACUUUGGAUUAUUAUUAUUUCGGGUUUGCAAGCCCCUCAUGUACCCCCCAAAUACCAUUGCUGGUAGAGGGGCAGAUUAUUUUGUUUAUUAAAAUAAAACACAGAUCAUUU